UCCGUCGUAGCAAGACCCACCCGGGCAGACUUGCGCGAUUAAGGAAGGCAUCUGAUGUUUAUGUUUUUUUGAUUUUUAGCAUAUUAUGUUGCCUCCACAUUAUAUCACUUUUAAUUAUUAAAUAGUGAUUUUAUUCAUACCUAUUCGUAGCUCUAACAUUUCCUUAGCUCAAGCUCUGGUAUGCACAAACAAAAUUCGACCUUGGCUUUAUUUCGUGGCUUAUAUAAGUCUGGCACAGUUUGGGCGCAAGACUGCCAGUGUUUGGUGAGUUGCGGUUGCGGGAACACUGAUCGUCACCGUUCCGUUUCAGAUAAAUAGAAGGGGUACGCUAAAAAAAAAAUGAAAAAGAACAUCCCCCCACGUCCACCCAUAAUUCAAACACUGGUGAACGUUUUCGUGGGUCCAGUGCUACUGACAUCUGUAUUCCUAGAUUUAUCAUUCAGUUGUAAGCUCACACGUAAUGUGUAUAAAUAAACAAAUUUAUACACAUUUCAAAAUGUAUAAUGAAAAAAAAAAUGUCUUUUUGAGGAUAGAAUAAAAUGUCGAUUAAACAUUAUAAUAAA